AAUGAACGCUGGCGGUAGGCCUAACACAUGCAAGUCGAACGGCAGCACAGUAAGAGCUUGCUCUUACGGGUGGCGACUGGCGGACGGGUGAGGCAUACAUCGCAAUCUAAUUUUUCGUGGGUGAUAACGUAGGGACACUUACGCUAAUACCGCAUACGACCUACGGGUGGAAUCAGGGGAUCUUCGGACCUUGCGCGAUUGAAUGAGCCGAUGUCGGAUUAGCUAGUUGGCGGGGUAAAGGCCCACCAAGGCGACGAUGCGUAGCUGAUCUGAGAGGAUGAUCGGCCACACUGGAACUGAGACACGGUCCAGACUCCUACGGGAGGCAGCAGUGGGGAAUAUUGGGCAAUGGGCGAAAGCCUGAUCCAGCCAUACCGCGUGAGUGAAGAAGGCCUUCGGGUUGUAAAACCCUUUUGUUGGGGAAGAAAAGCAGCAGAUGAAUACCCCGCUGUUCUGACGGUACCCAAAGAAUAAGCACCGGCUAACUUCGUG
rnacentral:rRNA from 1 species